rnacentral:piRNA from 1 species
UCCUUUGAUGGCUUUGGAAGAAGGAAAC